AGAUUGAACGCUGGCGGCAUGCUUUACACAUGCAAGUCGAACGGUAACAGGCCGCAAGGUGCUGACGAGUGGCGAACGGGUGAGUAAUGUAUCGGAACGUGCCCAGUCGUGGGGGAUAACGCAGCGAAAGCUGCGCUAAUACCGCAUACGAUCUAUGGAUGAAAGCGGGGGACCGUAAGGCCUCGCGCGAUUGGAGCGGCCGAUAGUCAGAUUAGGUAGUUGGUGGGGUAAAGGCUCACCAAGCCAACGAUCUGUAGCUGGUCUGAGA
rnacentral:rRNA from 1 species